rnacentral:lncRNA from 1 species
GCGGACCCACGUGUUGCCCAGGGGUUCACCCGAACCCCCUCAAAAAAAAAUUACACUGUAUAUAUAAGGUGAAUUUUCUGGAUUUAUGUGGAUAUAUAUAUUUUGAACCCCUUCAAUGACAAGGUGAAGGAGAUAGCCCAGUGGCAGCUCCCUUCAAAGUUAAGCCUGACGUCCAAGGAUCGAAUCCCUGGGUUAGCGUUUUAUUUUUUUGUUUUUUAC